CCAUUCCGAAGAAGCAAAAGUAAUUUACAAGACCAACGCCGAACCGAUCUUGAUCAGAAAUUGAUAGAACCUCGUGGGGUUACCACGAACAACACCAUCAUUAAAGGCAGACAGAGGAAAGGAGGUAGUGUUGUAAACAACCGAGCUGACAUGACCACCAGAACUCUACACAUACUCUCGAAAGAACGCAUCAACAUUUGGUUCCAUCAUCUUUUUGGUUCUAUCCUCUUAUACACGUGUUGCUCACCGUUUCCCUUUUAAGGCUGCACGCGUCGAUCAUCGUUGAAGGCUCUGCUUCGAUUUCUUCCGUGUUUCUUUCUCUCUCCCAUAGCAUUUUGCUUCGUUUCGAACCUGGCUUUCUUCCUCUCUCGCACUGCCCCUUUUGUUGCUGUCUAAUGUUUCCGUCUUUGUCUCGGCGCGAUCAUCCACCGCCGUUUUUGUUGCUGGAAUGGUCUUCUGCUCCUGCGAAUUUCUUUGGUUCAAAAGCCUUAGGUGGCUACAAGUUUUUGCCGUUUCGAUUCCAUCGAAAUUCAUUCUUUUCCUCGCGUGAUCUAGCGUUUUCGGAUGCCUGAUUUUCUGACAAGGCGAUUCUGGCCGAUGACCAGAGAACUAGACCUCGCUACUAUCGGUGAAGAUAAUACACAUGGUAACAUAGUACUCUUGCACCUCUGAAUAACGGGUCAACAACCCAACUCCAAACUAGCAAGCAACAUACCAUCCAUAACCCUCAUAAAGUCGCAUGGGCCACCACCAGGAAGGCCCCUCCAAACCCUCAGCAUCAGCAUCUUGAUUUCCUUUGAAGUGAAUGCCAAACUGCGGUGUGAUGUUCAAACUUUGUGGCCUUUUGAAAUAGUUGGGAGCAUAAUUCAUUCUACUACAGAUUGUUCCCCUUUCCAUUUCCAUGAGGUAAAAGCUCAAAUCUCUGUAUUUUUGUGUUGGAGAAGUUGGUGGAACAAAUUGUGCAUUACUCUACAUAUGACCAAUGUCUAUGAUUUUACCUAUUUUGAUAAUGCUUGAAUUAUGCUUCUUGGUUUUUAAUUGGGUUUUUGUGUAGUGAGUUGGAUAGAUAGUUCAUAGCAUAGGUUUGGUUGCAUAUCUAUUGGAAAAAGAAAAACACGGAGAGCCACAACACACUGAGGAUAAACUUUUUGUCUUCAGGAAGAUGAGGAGACAAAAAGAAGUACAAAGGGAUGGAUUUAGCUUCCACUUUUGAGGUUCCAGGCACCCAAAAACUGCCGAUUGGUACCCUGGAAUUAACAAUGUAGCUGGAGUUCUCUACUGGCUUAAGCACAGUAGAGAACUCAAGUACAGGUCUCUCUAUCUGUUUCUCAAUCCUGGAACCUCUGGCCUCCGCAAGAAGGAGCAGUUUGAAGGAUUAAAAUGUUGUCAUUUGGAAUAGAUGAUCUUGGUUUAGCAAAUUGAUAGUGAGAUGGAACACCCCUAACUGCGUUGUAAGUUCGACUCACUCAUCCUAUAAGAGUUGCUUCAUAAUUGUAAUAUUCAAAACCAGAUGACUUUUUCAGUUAUGGUUCGAUUAUUAUUUUC